UACGUAGGGCGCAAGCGUUAUCCGGAAUUAUUGGGCGUAAAGAGCUCGUAGGCGGUUUGUCGCGUCUGCCGUGAAAGUCCGGGGCUCAACUCCGGAUCUGCGGUGGGUACGGGCAUGACUGGAGUUCGGCAGGGGAGACUGGAAUUCCUGGUGUAGCGGUGAAAUGCGCAGAUAUCGGGAAGAACACCCGUGGCGAAGGCGGCUCUCUGGGACGGUACUGACGCUGAGACGCGAAAGCGUGGGGAGCGAACAGG
rnacentral:rRNA from 1 species